GACGAACGCUGGCGGCGUGCUUAACACAUGCAAGUCGAACGGAAAGGCCCUGCUUUUGUGGGGUGCUCGAGUGGCGAACGGGUGAGUAACACGUGAGUAACCUGCCCUUGACUUUGGGAUAACUUCAGGAAACUGGGGCUAAUACCGGAUAGGAGCUCCUGCUGCAUGGUGGGGGUUGGAAAGUUUCGGCGGUUGGGGAUGGACUCGCGGCUUAUCAGCUUGUUGGUGGGGUAGUUGCUUACCAAGGCUUUGACGGGUAGCCGGCCUGAAAGGGUGACCGGCCACAUUGGGACUGAGAUACGGCCCAGACUCCUACGGGAGGCAGCAGUGGGGAAUAUUGCACAAUGGGCGGAAGCCUGAUGCAGCAACGCCGCGUGCGGGAUGACGGCCUUCGGGUUGUAAACCGCUUUCGCCUGUGACGAAGCGUGAGUGACGGUAAUGGGUAAAGAAGCACCGGCUAACUACGUG
rnacentral:rRNA from 1 species